rnacentral:tRNA from 1 species
GGGGCUGUGGCGCAGCUGGGACGCGCGACUGCAUGGCAUGCAGUAGGUCGAGGGUUCGAUCCCCUCCAGCUCCA